GAUGAACGCUGGCGGCGUGCCUAAUACAUGCAAGUCGAGCGGACAGACGAGGAGCUUGCUCCUCUGACGUUAGCGGCGGACGUGUGAGUAACACGCGUAUAACGUACCUAUCAGACUGGUAUAACUUCGGGAAACCGGAGCUUAUCCCGGAUAAUAUAUUGAACCGCAUUGGUCAAUAGUGAAAGACGGCUUUGCUGUCACUUCUAGAUGGAUCCCCGCCGCAUUAGGUAGUUGUGAAGGUAACGGGUUACCAAGGGGAGGCGGCGUAUCCGAGCUGAGAGGGUGAUCGGCCACACUGGAACGGAGACACGGUCCAGACUCCUACGGGAGGCAGCAGUAGGGAAUGGGCCGCAACGGGCGAAAGCCUGACGGAGCGACGCCGCGUGAGUGAUGAAGGUCUUGGGAUCGUAAAACUCUGUUAUUAGGGAAGAACAAAUGUGUAAGGAAAUAUGCCCGUCUUGACGGUACCGAAUCAGAAAGCCACGGCUAACUACGUG
rnacentral:rRNA from 1 species